UAGAGGAUGAACCAUCAUGGGAGACAUCAUUUGGACGGGUCAGUCCGUUAGUCAGCAUCCAUCACAUCUAGUCUCUUGGCCUCCUCCUCAGGCAUACGUUAAAAGGAAGAGAAAAAAUAUCUUGUCAUGAGGCUUGACCAAACUAAAACUGGUCUGUCUAUUCGGAGUUACUGUGAGAAAGAAGGUAAGUGCCAGGUUACCUUGAGAUCUUCAGUCAACAUGGAAGUCACCAGCAGUGCAGAGCAGUUGGAGUUCCAGGCCUGAAGAUCAGAGGCAAAGGCAUCCUGCAACUUUCAGGAAUUUGAAUUUCUAUGGGGAGAACAGACUUCAAACGGGCACUGGCUGCCAGAAGAGACAGCAAAGUAAGUUAAGUAAGUUAAAAAAGUGGGACUGCUGUUCAGGGGAAAAGGACAAAGGAAGGGUUUGCCCUAUGGGAGGUGUGAGAGGGGAAGGAGGAUCUCACUGAGAAGUACAGAGCUACCUGGGUGUAGGUUCGGUGUGUGAAAUACCUAUGUGUGCAAGUAUAUGCUAUGGUAUGUGUGCCUGAGCACACACUGCAUAUGUGUGUUCAUGUGAUGUGGCAUGUUUGCACAUACGUUUCUGGUGUAUGCAGGGGACAUGCAUGUAUGUGUGUUUGCAAUAUCUGCCAUGGCUGUGCAUAUGGUGUGUGUGUGUGUGUGCGUGUGUGUGUGUACACGUGCAAAUGUUCUGGCAUUUUUACAGUGUGGAUAACUUGGAGAAACAUUUCUGAUGAGAAGUCAGGCUUACAGCUGUGAGAUUGGAGCAAGACGCAGAGGGAAAGAAAGGCGUUCCCUAGGGAUGGGGGAGUCGGGAUAAGAAUCUGGACAAAGACCUGCUGGAUGUUUUAUCAGAACUGUGGUGUUGAGUUGCAGUACAAGUGCUAUCCAAAUGCCCCGUGCUGCUACUUCAUCAUUUCCAUGCUUCCAGGAAGCAGGGCUUACCAUGUGCACAAUGUCCAGCCAAAGGGAUACGAACAGAGAGGAAAUUGCACUGCAGCCUGCAUCAUCUGUCUGAUCCUCCGGGAUAUUAGUAGAGACAUGUGAGUCUUCACUGUCUAAGCAGUAAUGUCUUGAUUGCGUCUCAGCAGGAAGUUUAGCUCUACAAUGAGGACAGAGGGACAGCUUCCUGUUCUCACCGAGCUCCCUGGACACUCCUAAUAAAUCUCACUGCUCUCCAGCUGCUGCAAAUGGUUCUCAUGUGCUGACAGGUUAUACAGUUCAAGACAGGACAUGGGCAGGCGUUUGAGUCUGGACAGUGGGGCGGUGACGUGAUGUGGGUGUUAAGGGACAGGGUCAGGAGCCUCCCUGGCCACCCUUCCCACCCCUCUCCCUUCUGCCCUGCUGAAGUGAGGUGUCUUCAUCUUAGGCAAGUCAUGCCAACUGUGAAAACCGGAACUUCUUCAGAGGAAGAAUCAAUAGACCCAGAACUGCUUAUCUUGCAGAUGGUGAGGAAGAAUAACGUAUCCCAAAGGAAGUUCCUCACAUAGCGGCAGGCACACAAAACACUCCCGACGUCAACAACAGUGAUGCUGUGCUUACUCCAGGCCACGAGAAGUCUCCGGCGUCUUAGGUAUGGUAACUAUUUGAAUACUCACAGUCUCAUAAAUCCAGUCUGUAUGACUAAUGUCAUCUUACAGGGGAUGAACCUAAGGCUCUAAGCGCCCCCGGAAGCUUGCCUGUGCUCACAGAGCUGAGCAUCUAACAAAGGCAGGUUGGCCUCAGAAACCGAGGAAAUACUUGAAAGUUAAGGUAUUGGUGGAUGAGUGGACAAAGAUCCUGGACACCUUCGAGCCUUCGCAGGGACAGAAAGUUACCUAGGCCACCGGAAGGUUGGAAAUGCUCAUCCCAGCACCACAAUGUCCAGAAAACAGAGCUAAACAUUGAAUGCUACUACACAGUCACACACGUGUCACGGGACCAGAGCCUCUCAGUGCCCAGCACUAUUGGACUCUCCUACCACUCUGGCGAUUCAUCAUUCCACAAGAGGUGUAUCUGGACGUAAGGAAGGAGCUAAGAACAUAAAUGCACAUUUGACGUGUCCGUGGCCCUGUGUAGAAAAUUCUUUCAAAGAGAGGUGGCCUUGUUUUGUUUCCAGGGCAUUCCUAUUUGUGUGUGUCUGGGGAAGUCAUUGGACCUGCCUCUCCCUAAUUUUUCCUGAAUUCAGAUAUACAGAAGUCUGGGACAGGGGUGACAACUGUGUGGAUCAGGACCUAUGCCCGGGCCAGGUGGCCACUUCUGCUUCCCAAGCCCUCCUAACACACUCCACGUCCCAGCUAAUACUAAUACUGGCUAACGCUGCUCCUACACCUGAACUCUGCACCCCUCACUCCAGGAUACAGAGAAGCUUCCCACCCGUCAGGACCAGGAGUCCUCGAAGCGCAAGGAUCUCAUUGGCAGUUGGUAAAAGUCUGGCUCCUGCGCCAGGCAGGCCAGGAUCUCGGCCUUCUCUAUGUUUGCUGAUUACACCCCUAGCUUCCCUGUCCCCCCCCCCCCGUUUCCAGCCUACCAACCAGGACUCGCAACCGUCCCCUUGUGCCAAGGUCCAAUGAGUAAAGCUGGGAAUUCACAUUCUGGAGGAAAUGCUCAGUUUGAGGUGCAGGCUGGUCACAGCAGUGACAUGUCUCAGAUGCCUUCUGCACCGUGCUUGUCUUCAGGCCACAAAGCACCCCUGUGACAGACUUCCUUAGACAGCAUCUACACAGACAAGGUUACUGUAUACACAGGAAGACAGCAGCGCAGUGCUACAUUGCAAAGCAGGCUACACUGUAGAGCAAGCGGCAACGAUUGCCUCCCCUGGCGGUCUUAUUCCACAAGCUGUUUUGAUUUAUGGUGCUUGGGUUGCAUCUUAUCUCCCUUCCUCAGGAGAUACUCAUCAGUUGGCCAGGACUGUGUCAAGUUCACCUCUCAUUCCCAUUGUGCCGGAGCACAUACAUAUUCAAAGUCAGAGUACAAAGUCAAGAUGGGACCCGUGGACAGAAAAGGACUUUGGGAAAAACUAAGGCAAUCUGAGUAAAGUAUGGAUUUUAUCACCCCGUGGCGUAUCAACGCUGAUUCGCUGAUUGUUGACACAUAGAGCAUGCUAAUGUAAGAGCUGCCUUCUUACCAUCUUUGGAAGUGAACUGUGGAGGAGAGGUAAACGAGGGGUGAAGUUGGGAUUGGUCAAAUGGAUGAAGGUGAGUUGAAGCUUGAAGCAGCCAGAUGGCCAGCACGUAAAACCUGGAUUCAUGGUCACACCUUCUCUUUCCCUCUAGGGACCCAAGAGAGGACUGCAAAUCACAGCAGAGUCUGUUUUCCAGGACAGGGACGAGCACUCAUGGCUGUGUGACCACUUCCACCUCAGAGAACGCAGGAAGCAGAGCCAGCCAAUCAGAUGUGCACUACCUGUCCAUUAUAUGUAUGAGGGCCGAUGCAUUAUUCAUUGAUGACAUCUGUUUAGGCAAUUAAUGUGUUCCUAUCAUGUUCAAUGCUUUACAAGGGCCUGUUAAACCCAUAUAACACAAACCCUAUGGGCAUGGGGAAAGUGACAUCACUAGCUCAGACUAUGCAACCGAACAACACUAACAAAAAAACCUGCACCCAUACGUCUCUCUCUUUGCUGAACAUUUUAUUAAGCGUGCUACACUUCAGCUUUAGUUCUCAGGGGAGAGCGUGCAAAUGAAGAUGGCUAUGAUUUCCACUUUACUCCAGAGAGACUGAGGAUGGGAGACGUUAAAUAUCUUCUCAGAGUCACAUGGCUAGGGCAAAGCAGAUUCAGGAAAGCCCAGGAGUCUAGCUUGAGCCCGGUCUAUAAGCAACUGUCUUAUCAACUGUCUUCUCUCUCUCUCUCUCUCUCUCUCUCUCUCUGUGUGUGUGUGUGUGUGUGUGUGUGUGUGUGUGUGUGUAUCAUGUGUAUGUGUAUGUGUGUGCACUUGCAUUCGUUGUGAGUAUAACACACAUGUGCAGGUCAGAAGACAACCUCGGGUGUUAGUCCUCACUUCCCUCCUUUUGAGACAACGCCUGUUCAUUGCUUUCCCACUGAGGACGGCAGGGUAGCUGGACUGUGAGCUUCCAGGGAUUCUUCCUCAGGCUCAGACCGUUGCACACUUUCCCCAGCCAGGAGCACUGUUUGGAGAGGUGAGGGGAAGGGUCAGUCUUACAGGUGGGCCUCAAUUCCAGUUCCAGGGAUCCCAAAGAAUAAUAUGCAUAUUCUUUGACAAUCCAUACAUGUACAUUAUGCAAUGUAUCUUCAUAUCUACCCCCAAUAAUCCCACUCCAUUCUGAACUCCCAAUGUCUCCCUCCCAUUUCAUGUUUUUGUCUUCUCUUUAAUAACACACUGAGUCCAGUUAAUUCUUCUCACGCAUCUGACUUUCUACAUGAGUUCACGGAUUUGAACUCAGGUCCUCACACCUUCACAGCAAAUGCAUUUACCAAAUAAGCCAGCAGUCCAGCCCCCUUAGCUGUCUUCGGAUUGUUCUCACAGGCGCUUACCACAGAAUGAGACAAAUCUUCAGUUGAACUCAAGUUGUUCUCAAGCGCUCUGUGCCUCCAUUAUGACUCCGUACCCCCCUGGGACGGUCUUAUGGAGAAGGCAGUACUGACUCAGCAUUGUGCAUCUCCUGCUGUCCCUGUGGGUGGAGGGUUAGGGCGGGCUUUCGAUCCCCAUUCAGCCAGUGAGGGAUCUGAGCUGAGCAGGAGUGAAGAAGCUUGUCACUGCAAGAAUUUAGCUAAGGCUAGAACUCACAUCAUCAACUGCAAGCACCAAGCAGAGAGGGAACCGGGAGUAGGGCAAAGCUUCAAAAAAAAUAUCUCAAAGCUGGGCUGGAGAGAUGGCUCAGUAGUUAAGAGCACUGACUGCUCUUCCGAAGGUCCUGAGUUCAAAUCCCAGCAACCACAUGGUGGCUCACUGUAACCACCAUCUGUAAUGAAACCUGACGGCCUCUUCUGGUGUGUCUGAAGUCAGCUACACUGUACUUAUAAUAAAUAAAUAAAUUAAAAACAAAAACAAAAACAAAAAACCCCCAAAGCCCAGCCCCAGUGCUGUACUUGUUGAAACAAGGCUGAACCUUUCCAUAGCCUCUCCAGACAGUGCUCCCAACUGUGAGGGACCUUUCUCAUUUAAAUCACCACAGUCUCCAAGGUGAAUUUUUGAGGAGGUACAUCAAUUCUCAGCAGCAACUGACUUACAUGACCACAGGCUUGUCUAUGCCUACUCUGUAUUCCUGACUGCACACUGAAGCUCACUUAUAAGAAGACCUAUCCCCAUAGCAUUAGGUGAAGAUUAAAUGAGAGAAUCUGAGUUUCUUUGUAAGUUCUAAGAAAACAGAAAGAGAUCAUUAUUUUUCAUCCACUAAUCAUCUUUAUCCCUAGCUGGCUGUUCUUUUUAAAGUAGGUACCAGAUUUUUCCAUUAAAUUAUCUUAUUGGAAGAGAGAAAAGGGAUUAGACGACAAUGGGUACAUGUCUGCACUUGCAUGCAUGCACACAUACAGAGACACAUAUAGACACAGAUACUCAGGAGCAGGCGAGCGCGCAUGCGCGCGCGCACACACACACACACACACACACACACACACACACACACACACACACGCACGCACACACACGCACACACACACACACAAUCUGUUGACAUUGGAAAGUAGGCUUGGAGCAAUGGUCCUGAAGUCAACACCAGCCUUGAAAGAGAAGUGUUAAGUUUUUAACCUUUGCCCCACAUUACAGAAGGGCAUUGGCCUGGACUCGUAGGUAACACAAAUAUUUUGCACUCCAAUGUAUUUCUUUGUUCAAUAUAUUUUCCCUGUUCCCUCCGAAUCCUCUUCCCACACACCAAUCAUACUUACUUUUGCGUAUUGAACCCUUAAACUUAGAAUGUGAUUUUUAAAACAAAACAAAACAUCUCCUAGGCACAUUUUAAAACCUUCUGGGCCCCACAUCGAGAGAUUCUGGGCUGAUUUUGACCUCACAAAUCUGUACCACAAGGAAACUUUCGGAGAGACUCACUCCUGUGUUCUUUGUGAUCCCUUCUGGCCUUAAAGAGCAACUCAUUUCUUGCAAACUGCUUCAGCUUAGUUAAGGCUGUGUACUGUGAGUACCCAACACUCAGCAACUAUAGCGACUAUAGCGCUACUAAGCAAGACCUCUGAGGUGGACGGAAACUCACCUUCUACCCACUGCGGUGGCUCCCAGCAUUGCUUCAGAAUUUCAGCCCUCUGUGUAGCUUGGAACUCUUCAUAAGAAUCAAACUCUAGAAGCAUUAUCUUUCCCAGAUCUCUUUUCUAGACCUACCAGAGAGAUUAAAUGGCUCUUCCCAAUUACAGACCACACCAACACUCAUCUUACAUCUAUUUAUGGACUUUAUUGUUAGCCUUUCCUCAUGAGAGGUCAGUUUUCUCCUUUUCCCAGACUAUAGGCUGUGUCACCUCUGUCAGAGAGCUUUCACUAUCUGUUCUGGAUCAUGGGUUAUCACAAAAUCAGCAGAGGAUAGGAUAAGGGAGGUGGGAGGCUGUAUGAGAUGGCAGGGGGAAGGGGAGCGCUCAGAGGUCUGAGUACAAAGGCCUUAUCCUAGGAUGGGGCCAUGGAUAGCUGUGAAGCUGAUUUUCAGUGAGUAGGAAUUUUGACUUUGAUCUAGAGUACUUGGAGAAA